rnacentral:rRNA from 1 species
UACGUAGGGGGCAAGCGUUAUCCGGAAUUACUGGGUGUAAAGGGAGCGUAGACGGUAAUGUAAGUCUGGAGUGAAAGGCGGGGGCCCAACCCCCGGACUGCUUUGGAAACUAUGUUACUAGAGUGCGGGAGAGGUAAGCGGAAUUCCUAGUGUAGCGGUGAAAUGCGUAGAUAUUAGGAGGAACACCAGUGGCGAAGGCGGCUUACUGGACUGUAACUGACGCUGAGGUUCGAAAGCGUGGGUAGCAAACAGG